GGCUUCCUUCACUCUUUGGAAACCCAGAGAAUGAGACUCUGCCCAAAGGUGAAAUGCAGUCAGCUAAGUUUUUGGGUGCCUUUCUGGAUUUGAGAACCUGUUUGGAAUCAGCCAUACAUUUCCGUCCACUGGGAAAUGGGGUUGACCUGCCUUAGCCAGGCCUCACAUGCCAUCCUGAUGAAACAUUAUUUUAGGGGCUGGCAGCCCUGAGCUGGCUUCUGUUCUGCUGGCCCCAUAGGCUGGCUCAGUUCCAGGCUCACCUUUCGCUACCCUUGUGGCUGCCACAUUGCCCAGCUUUGAUUUAUCGUGUCUUCAGCAGAGCUGUGGGCCUAGAGUGAUUUAAUGUUGAUAUUAUAUGUCACACAGAAGAUGCCAGCAUCGCCAGCAGAUCUCAUGUCUCCACUCUCCAGCGGUCUGGAUUGAGGACCCUAAAGAAGGCAGGUGACCCUAAGGCCCCCUCUUGGAAAGGGGCUGUUGAGCGUCCUUUACUCUUCUUAAAAUUUCCAUUUGAAACCUGUUUUGCUGCAUGUCACCCCCUGCAGCCAAUAUUGAUGUUAAUCUUGGGCUGCAUAUGCAAUGUGACCUCGGAUGAAAUUGAACAACUGGGUAAUUAUCUGUGGACCUAUUUCUAAUGAAAUAAUUGGAAUAAUUGGAAUAGGAUUAGUAGAACUGCAGAGAGACCUGUUGCUCCUAGCUGGGCUCUUAAUGCCAAACAAAAGAAGCAACGUGUCAGUAAUUCAGUUGGUGGAUGCCUUGGAGCCAUUCAAGAUGCAUUUUGCUCAUUAGCCAAAUCUCUUCCUGCCCUCAUCCUCCCCCAACAUUUGUUUCAGAUGUGAUUUUCAUGAAGCAUGUCCCUGUGUCUUGUUUGUCUUUGGCAAACACAAGUAACUAUUGUAAAUAUAGCAUUGGAUCUCCCUGCUCUUUGGGGACCGUGAGAUUUAUAGUGCCA
rnacentral:lncRNA from 1 species